CAGUAGCCGCGGGAAUACAGAGGGUGCGAGCGUUAAUCGGAUUUACUGGGCGUAAAGCGUGCGUAGGCGGCUUCUUAAGUCGGAUGUGAAAUACCUGAGCUUAACUUAGGAAUUGCAUUCGAUACUGGGAAGCUAGAGUAUGGGAGAGGAUGGUAGAAUUCCAGGUGUAGCGGUGAAAUGCGUAGAGAUCUGGAGGAAUACCGAUGGCGAAGGCAGCCAUCUGGCCUAAUACUGACGCUGAGGUACGAAAGCAUGGGGAGCAAACAGGAUUAGAUACCCCAGUAGUCCCUGUCUCUUAUAA
rnacentral:rRNA from 1 species